AUAAAAUCAUGCAACUGGCGGAGAAUGGAAUUUACCAUAGGGAGCAUGAUUUUUGAAUAUAUCGACCGCCUGGGUAAACAUU
rnacentral:ncRNA from 2 species